rnacentral:rRNA from 1 species
GCUAUCCUACGGGACGCAGCAGUGGGGAAUAUUGCACAAUGGGGGAAACCCUGAUGCAGCGACGCCGCGUGAGUGAAGAAGUAUUUCGGUAUGUAAAGCUCUAUCAGCAGGGAAGAAGAAAGACGGUACCUGACUAAGAAGCCCCGGCUAACUACGUGCCAGCAGCCGCGGUAAUACGUAGGGGGCAAGCGUUAUCCGGAUUUACUGGGUGUAAAGGGAGCGUAGACGGCUGUGCAAGUCUGAAGUGAAAGCCCAGAGCUCAAUCC